rnacentral:rRNA from 1 species
GGUUGAUCCUGCCAGUAGUGAUAUGUUCGAUUUCGAGAUUAAGCCAUGCAAGUUGAAGUUUCUAAACUGCGGAAAGCUCAAUACUGCACUCCCAAUGAGUUCGAUCAUCAUUCUGAUAGUAUAACUGUGGAAAAUCUGCAGCUAAUACCCGAGGUAUUUUAUGCCAAGUGGUUUAGGUGAUUGAUGCCAUAAUAAUCUGGGCGCGAAAGCGGCCGAUCGAUCAGGGCGUGUUCUAUCAGCUAUCGUCGGUAGGGUAUUGGCCUACUGUGGCAAUAACGGGUGACGGGGAAUUG